rnacentral:rRNA from 1 species
UACGGAGGGUGCGAGCGUUGUCCGGAAUCAUUGGGCGUAAAGGGCGCGUAGGUGGCCCGGUCAGUUCGUGGUGAAAGCGCGGGGCUCAACCCUGCGUCGGCCAUGAAUACUGCCGCGGCUGGAGCACUGUAGAGGCAGGCGGAAUUCCGGGUGUAGCGGUGGAAUGCGCAGAUAUCAGGAGGAACACCGGUGGCGAAGGCGGGAUCCUGGGCCAGUACUGACGCUGAGGAGCGAAAGCGUGGGGAGCAAACAGG